GAUGAAGAACGCAGCGAAAUGCGAUACUUGGUGUGAAUUGCAGAAUCCCGUGAACCAUCGAGUCUUUGAACGCAAGUUGCGCCCGAAGCCAUUAGGCCGAGGGCACGCCUGCCUGGGCGUCACACGUCGUUGCCCCCCCAUCUACUCCUUCGGGAUUGCGGGGGGCGGAUGAUGGCCUCCCGUGCGCCUCGCCGCGCGGUUGGCAUAAAUGCCAAGUCCUCGGCGACGCACGCCACGACAAUCGGUGGUUGCGAAACCUCGGUUGCCCGUCGUGUGCGGUCGUCGCGCAUCGAGGGCUCGAAAAAAUUGCCGGGUUCCGGCUCGGCUUUCAACGCGACCCCAGGUCAGGCGGGGUUACCCGCUGAAUUUAAGCAUAUCAAUAGCGGAGGA
rnacentral:misc_RNA from 1 species